AUAACAUAACGGGGUCCUUUAUGUAACUGGAUUCCCCGUAACUGGAACGAGUAGACUCUAAAUGAUUUAACGUAGAUCUAUUGAAGGGUUAAGUCUAGUACCAGCAGCCGCGCUAAUUCCAGCUCCAA
rnacentral:rRNA from 1 species